GGGGAUUGAGGUUAAUCUCCCAACCCAAUGUGAACGUUACCAAACUGUUGCCUCGGCGGGGUCACGCCCCGGGUGCGUCGCAGCCCCGGAACCAGGCGCCCGCCGGAGGAACCAACCAAACUCUUUCUGUAGUCCCCUCGCGGACGUAUUUCUUUACAGCUCUGAGCAAAAAUUCAAAAUGAAUCAAAACUUUCAACAACGGAUCUCUUGGUUCUGGCAUCGAUGAAGAACGCAGCGAAAUGCGAUAAGUAAUGUGAAUUGCAGAAUUCAGUGAAUCAUCGAAUCUUUGAACGCACAUUGCGCCCGCCAGUAUUCUGGCGGGCAUGCCUGUCCGAGCGUCAUUUCAACCCUCGAACCCCUCCGGGGGAUCGGCGUUGGGGAUCGGGACCCCUCACACGGGUGCCGGCCCCUAAAUACAGUGGCGGUCUCGCCGCAGCCUCUCCUGCGCAGUAGUUUGCACAACUCGCACCGGGAGCGCGGCGCGUCCACGUCCGUAAAACACCCAACUUUCUGAAAUGUUGACCUCGGAUCAGGUAGGAAUACCCGCUGAACUUAAGCAUAUCAAUAAGGCGGAGGAAA
rnacentral:rRNA from 1 species